UGAGGAAUAUUGCGCAAUGGGCGAAAGCCUGACGCAGCGACGCCGCGUGGGGGAUGAAGGUUUUCGGAUUGUAAACCCCUUUUGUGAGGAAAGAUAAGGUAGGUAACUGCCUGGACGGUACCUCAAGAAAAAGCCACGGCUAACUUCGUGCCAGCAGCCGCGGUAAUACGAAGGUGGCGAGCGUUGUCCGGAUUUACUGGGCGUAAAGAGCACGUAGGCGGUUGGGUAAGCCUCUUGGGAAAUCUCCCGGCUUAACCGGGAAAGGUCGAGGGGAACUACUCAGCUAGAGGACGGGAGAGGAGCGCGGAAUUCCCGGUGUAGCGGUGAAAUGCGUAGAUAUCGGGAAGAAGGCCGGUGGCGAAGGCGGCGCUCUGGAACGUACCUGACGCUGAGGUGCGAAAGCGUGGGGAGCAA
rnacentral:rRNA from 1 species